UAGAAUUAUAAGAUCUCAGAGCUGAGAGAAUCUUAGGACUCCCUUAUUCUCAUCCUUUUGUGGGUGAAGAUAUCGAGAUUCAAAUAGUUUUCACAGAGCUUUUAAAAUGUGAAGAUAUUCUGUUAGAGUCUUGCCAACAGCCAAGUCAAUUUAAACGUUUGGGCUUUCUAGUUCAAGUUCCAUUUACUUUCUCAAGGUUCAUGAACCUUUCCCACUCAGAUCCAGGUCUGGGUGUGGCGGUCAUUGUUUGCCAUCCUUUCAUCCUGCUUCUUCAACCCACUUGCCGAGAACUUAGCUCACUCCCUCCUCUGCCUCCUCCUCUCCUGCUGACCCUGGAAGAAACACACAUUUAGUCCAAGGACUCCCUCUUCUAACUUCUCCAUCUACCUUUCACCAUCACCUGGCUCCAAACGGGCCCCAAUAGAUGGAGGACUUUGGAGAAGAGAGGGUCAUUUAAUUAGGAAAACGCUUAGUUUUUUUCCCCAUAAAUCUGAAUGUUUUCUGAACAAUAGAUAAAGGAGUUUUGGAAAAUCCAUGAUUGUGUCUUUAAAAAAUCUCUGGUUCAUUUAACCUGGUUAAUCUAGAGUUGCUAUGGGUUGUUCAAAGAAAAAGUGUGAGCAGCCCAUCUGCAUCAUGGAUGUGUAGGCGUCGAAACAUGGAUCUGAUCAGAGGUUGCUGUACUUUUUUUUGUGGUUCUUUUGGGGUCCAAGUCAAAAUUAUGACUUGCUCUGUAAUAUCGGAAGGUGGAGGUGGGGAGGUAUCGUGUGUCCAGGUGCAGAAGAAUGAACAGUGCUUUACUCUCUCUCCUUUCGGUCUUACGUUGCUGAAAAUCCAACCAGUAGUGUCAUAAAGAAACUGGGGUGUCUCUUUCCUCUCAUAACAGGAAUCUUGGAGGUGGCUUGGUGACGUUUGAGGUGUAGCAGGAUAACUUUGCCUCAAGCAAUUGAGGUCUGAGUGGUAGUGGUCAGGGCCAGAGAACUAAUUGACCAUCUGAAAUUUUCUUCAGAUUAACUGGAGAAACUAUUACCACACAUGGAUGCAGCAGCAUUCUAUGAGGAGACGCUCUCCGAACAGCCAGGGUUAAAGGUUAGCAAUAAGCAUAAUAACGGGGGUGCUGGUGCUUAGGGCUCCGGUGGGAAAGUACAGGAGGUUCUAACAUGGCUCGUUGCACAUUUUCCCGUUUCUCACCCAGGCGCUGGUGCUGAUGGUCAUUCUCGCUCCUGGCUGGAAGCUCCCUGGAGAGGCACUGGUGGCAGCAGAAUUCUCACCUUCUCGAGGUGCUCAGGGUAUGUCUGGAGGUUGACUUCUCUGUUCAAAGGAGGGGAGUUGAGAGAGAUUUUUUUUCUCAGCUGCGGUUUGCUCGGGUGUUUUUGUUUUGAAGUGCAGCUGUCCCUCUGUAAUCCGAGGGGUGUGCGUCUGCAGAUUUAACCAACCUCAGAUGAACGGGGCGGUUGCCUGAGUUUUGGCCAUGACGGAGUUUUUCCACUCAGACUAAACAUUGAUCCGGGUGUCCUAGGGCUUCUUGAUUUUUCCCAGAUCUUGAAUGUAAUAGAGGUACUUGUGUCUGUGUGUGAGCUCUUAGCUGGUUGGUCCCCAGUAAAGUAAACGUCACUUCUGUCUCCAAAAGGCCAUUAUAGCCUUUGUGGCCUACUGGUUAGGAUUCAGUGCUCUCAGCAAGACCGUUAUUGACUAAGAUAAGAAUUUUGGAAGCAGUGGAUGCUUUGCAUUCAGUUUCAGGUGAUAUUUUGGUAGGAUUGAUAGGGGCCCUACGGGGAAAUGUCCAUUUCAUGGAUUUUGAGAGAAAAAAACAGGUGAUCUAAGGUGCCUGGAAACAGAGACGAUGAAAAUACUGAGCAGAGGUGCGAACCUGUGGUUACGAGGAUGCUGAUCAGAAACAGGCUCUUCUCCCGAAGAAGAGGAUUUGGAGGGUCAGCUCUGCAGGCUGGGCCGUGUCUCCACCCUGGCUGCUGAGUGUCAGCUUUCUCACUUGUGAAGUGACACUCAUACUCUUUAUUUUUGUGUUUAAUUUAUACUGGAGUUUAGUUGAUUUACAGUGUUGCAUUGGUUUCAGGUGUACAGCAGAGUGAUCCAGUUCUACAUAUAACAGAAUAUCGACAUGCUCUUUUACUUUAAAUAAGAUAAUAUGUGCAGAUGUACUGAAUAAACUGAAAAGAAAUUCUUCAUGACUUCCCAGUUCACACAUGGGCAAAAAAAGAGGUCAAGUGAAUUAUUCUGAGGGGCGUCCUUUAGCAAGAAUCAUGUUAGGUCAGUUGAGCAAGAAUUCUCCGACCCUCACAGCAAUUUUCCAUCUGCUGACCCUCCACCCCCACCCCGCUCCUUGCCUGUAAAAUCCCUACUUUUCCUUAUUCUGUUCUGACAUGAGCUAGAGCUCUCUCUCCUACUGCAAAACCCCAUUGCAGUGCUCCCCAUAACUAUUGCAGUGGUCCUGGGUAAAAAAUACCUUACUGUUCUUUAACAGGUGUCAUGAUUUUUUUUCCUGUAACAUAGUCAUGCUUUUUCUCAGAGAUCAAGAUGUUGUAUCUUAUUUCAUGGAUCAGUUUGCUGUAGGUAAUUUUUUUCUCCCAUCUUUCCUUGCAGAAUGUACCUAUGUAGUCAGAUAAACUUGUAUAACUAUUUCCAAGAGGAAUAUUAUUCGGACAAUUUGUUCCUUCUGUUUGGUGUACUGGUAAAGGAACCAGGCAAUAGAAAUGUAAAAUUAGUGAAUUCUUUGGACAGUAAAAGCCUAUAAAAAGGAACACAGGGAUUUCUAUUCAGGUUUGCCUGUGGGAAAACAUAGAUCAGGAUGGAGUGGCUGGAUGCGAAUUGCUUCAUCUAAAAAUGACACAACCGUUUUAGUACAACAUGGGAUGGCAUCUUUGUCGUGUAAGCCUAGGUUUAAGAAUAUUUACAACCCAGUGGUUCUAGAGUCUUGAGGGAUUUUAUUUCUCUUCUAUUCCACACUGGUUGGUUUUUCUAACAUGGAUUUCUGUAGCUGUCCUCUGCUCCAUCCAACACAGAUGGACUGUGGUUUCACAAAUUUUGGAUGGAGAUUAUGUUCCUAGUUUUUAUUUUAUUUCCUUUAUCAUGAGGCACUUCUGACAAGUCUCAACCUGUUGAAACAGCUCAUUUUCCUGCAAUCUAUUGAGUAUGUUGGUGUCAGGAGAAGGAAGGGGGAUUUUAAAGUUUUUUUUUUUUUUUUUUUGGUUUGCUUGCUUGUUUCCAAACCUCACCUUAUCCAGUAAGUGCUGGAAAGAACUGAUGAGCCACAGUUCAGUAGAGAAAGCAGCCGGUGGAGAAUCACUGCCAGUCAAGGCACAUCCCUGUUACCUGGCCAUUUUAUCUUUACAAACUCACAUUUAAGGAAUCUCAAGGGAAUAGUUUUCCCGUAAUGGAAGAGAAUGAAGCCCACUAACUUUGAUUUUAUUUUUAAAAAUUAAAAAAAAAACCUUUACCACAUAACUAAAUUUACUUUCAAACAGCUGUGUUUGUUUAUGAUUGCGAAAUUAAUCACGUUUAAAUCUAUUCUAAUUCCUUAGCUGCUUUUUGUCUCUAAAACAUACUGAUACUUGGAAUUGAGGAUUUUCUGUCUUCAUGCUCACUUUCCAGGUUGGAAUCCUAGGUACAUCAGGGAAGCUCUCCUAGUCAACACAGGAGACGCGGGGAAAAUCAGGUUGCUAGAAGCUCCUUCUCAGUCAUUUUUUGGACCGUAAGAGCUGAACAAUGUUUGUCAGUAGUGAGGUGGGCGCCUUAUUCGGUACGAACUUUACUGGCUCCCUGAGUGAUGACAUCGCACUGGAGUGCAUGCCUUUAGCACUGUCACAUCCUUCUCCUGAAGAGGUAACACGGGUCUCAGGAAUUUCUGCAUGUCUUUGAAUUGUGUCAGAAACCGAUCAGCGUCACCCUUCCAGGUCUCCUAAUUGUAGGUUUAAUACGGGAAAGUGCAUCUAAUUAGGGAUCCUUUCCUGGUGCAGAUAUUUUUAGAAGCAGAUUUAGACGACAAGGAUUCAAUUCAACUAUGUCCAUUAUGUUUAAAGGUGACCUUAGAGUAUGUGUUUUCAUCAUUUCCCCACAGUAGAGCUGGCCUUGUGCUGGUGCACUAGAGCUGUCACACCUGGCUCCCUUGUGAUCAGAGACAUGCCAAGAGAGAGUGACACUCUGAGAGCAGAUCCAAUCCAUGACCUUUGCCUCAUUAGCAGCCUGACCCAACCAAUCAGAGAAAAGGCUGCCUUUGAUUCUGUAGCACAGACAUGGCUGUGACAAGGACAGUGAUCGACUCCUUGAUAUGACUCCCAGAGGAAGCCCGGGUUCUCUUUGAAAUGCUUUGUCCGUGCUGACAUACCAGUGUAGGAUGCCUUUCACUUGGCUGUCUUUCUCCCCCUCUGGAUCUCAUUCUCUCUUUAAUUAAAAUGCCAGCAUGCUCAGGUUACCCACUGAUCUUACGUAAAUGCAAGUCAUAUAUCUAUUUCCUUUUUCUCAGAAAUGCAUCAAACACUCACAGAUAUGCACUGAAAUUCAAUAUCUAUAUUUUUAGAUUUUCUUAAUUAAAAAAAGUAACUGUUCAUUAGCAAUAGUUCUAGAAUUACUAAAUAAAAGGUAGCAAAAUAGUACAAAAACUUUCAGUGUACCCUUCACCUGGCUUACCCAGAUGUUGACGUCUUAUUGUCUUAGCAUAAUGAUUGAGAGAGUGUGGAAUCCACUAGGGAAGCAUAAUGAUCAAAACCAGGAAAUUAACAUAAAAUAUGAUUAACUAAUCUUCAGACUUUAUUAAAAAUUUCCCCAUUGUUCCACCAGUAUCCCUGUUCUGAUUUAGGAGCCAGUCCAGGAUCACACAUUGCAUUUAGUAGUCCCGAUUUCUUAGUCUCUUCCAAUCUGGGACCAUUUCUCUGUCUUGACUUUUGAAGAAUACCAGCUAGUUACUUUGUAAAACGUCCCUCAAUUUGAGGUAGGCGGUGCUUUCUUCAUAUCAAAAUCAGACGACGCAUUUCUUUUCGGUAAGAAACCACCAUGGUGAUGUUGUGUCCUUCUCAGUCCAUCACUGUAUUAAUUACUCUGAUCACCGGUAAUGCUCACUCUGAUCACUUACGAUGCUGUCUGCCACUGUAAAGGGACUAGUCUACCCUUUGAGAUUAAAAAAAAUAAAAUAAAAUUUCUCCACAAAUUAUGUUGUGGAGAGAUAACCAAAGAUUAUAUAAGCAUACUGUCUCUUACAAUAUUUACUUAAAUCUUUGGAUUUUUCCAACUAAAAAGUGUAAGCAGAUGAAUAAAAUCAAAAAAGAAUUAAGGGAAUUCCCAUCUUGGCUCAGUGGAAAUGAAUCCGACUAGGAUCCUUGAGGACACAGGUUUGAUCCUUGGCCUUGCUCAGCAAGUUAGGGAUCUGGUUGCCAUGAGCUGUGGUGUAGGUCACAGAUGAGGCUUGGAUCUGGUGUUGCUAUCUAUGGCUGUGGUGUAGGCUGGUGGCUACAGCUCUGAUUCAACCUCUAGCCUGGGAACCUCCAUAUGCUGGGGAUGCGGCUCUAAAAAGACAAAAAACAAACAAAAAAGAAUUAAACAAAUGCAGAGAUAUUCCAUGACCAUGAUAGAAAGACUCAACGUUGUCAUGACAUCAGUUCUCAAUUUGAUCUGUAGGUUCAGUGGACUCCAAGUCAAAAUCCCAGCAAGUUAUUUUGUGAAUAUUGACAAACUCAUUCUAAAGUUUACGUGGAGCAGCAAAAGACCUAGAAUAGUCAACACAAUAUUGAAGGAGAAGAACACAGUUAGAGGACUUAUGCUACCUGACUUCAAGACUUAUUUAAGACAGCCUUUUCAAUAAAUGCUGCUGGCAAAACGGAACAUCCACAUGCAAAAUAAUGAAUUAGACAUAGACGUUACUACCCAUCCAUCUCAAGAAUCAACUCUAAAAGGAUUACAGCUCUAAAUGUAAACCCCCAAAACUAUAAAGCUCCUAGAAGGUAAUAGAGGGGAAAACCUAGAUAACCUUGCAUAUAGCAGUAACUUUUUACAUACAACACCAAAGACACAAGGCAUGAAGGAACUAAUCGGCAAGCUAGAUUUCAUUAAAAUAAAAACUUCUGUUUUGCGAAAGACAACGUCAAGAGAAUGAGAAGACAAGCCCAAACUGAGAGAAACAUACUUGCAAAAGAUAUCUGGUAAAGGAUUGUUAAGCAAAACAUACAAAGAACUCUUAAAACUCAACAAUAAAACAAUUAAAAAAUGAGCCAAAGACCUUAAUAGACACCUGUUAUUGUCGAUAAUAAAGUAUAUACAAAGAUGUCCACAGCAUGUGUCAUCAGGGAAAUUUGAAUUAAACAAAAAUGACAUAAAACUAUACACCAUUAAAGUGACCAAAAUCCAGAACACUAAUAAGACCAAAAGCUGAUAAGAAUGUAGAGCAACAGGAACUCACAUUGAUUGCUGGUGGGAAAUGCUAAAUGGCACAGCCACAUUGGAAGGCAGUCUGGAAGGUUUUUAGUAAAUGAAACAUACUUUACCAUGUGAUUCAGCAUUGAUGUUCCUUGAAACUUACCCAAGAAGCUGAAAACUUACGUACAGCAAAAAACCUGCACAUGGAUUUUUAUAGAAGCAUUAUUCAUAACUUCUAAAAUUUAGAAGCAACCAAGAUGUCCUUCAGCAGGUGAAUGGAUAAAUAACCCGUGAUACAUCCUGAUAAUGGAAUACGAUGCAGCACUAAAAAAGAAAUGAACUAUCAAGCCUUGAAAAGACAUGAAAGAACCUUAAUUGCAUAUUAUCAAGUGAAAGAAGACAAUCUGAAAGGUUACACACUCUAUGAUUCCAACUAUAUAAUAUUCCAGAAAAGGCAAAACUAUGGAUAUAAAAAAGAUCAGUGGUUUCUAGGGGUUGGAAAGUGGAGAGGGCUGAAUAGGCAGAGUAGGGGAAAUUUUUUGGGCAGUGACAAUACUCUGUAUGAUACCGUAAUGAUG
rnacentral:lncRNA from 1 species